UACGAAGGGGGCUAGCGUUGCUCGGAAUCACUGGGCGUAAAGGGUGCGUAGGCGGGUCUUUUAAGUCAGGGGUGAAAUCCUGGAGCUCAACUCCAGAACUGCCUUUGAUACUGAGGAUCUUGAGUUCGGGAGAGGUGAGUGGAACUGCGAGUGUAGAGGUGAAAUUCGUAGAUAUUCGCAAGAACACCAGUGGCGAAGGCGGCUCACUGGCCCGAGUACUGACGCUGAGGCACGAAAG
rnacentral:rRNA from 1 species